UCACAAUGCCUAAACAGUGUGUGUUUGGUUGUGCGCCUAGUGAUGUCAGCCUUCAUUCAUUUCCAAACCCUAAAAGAUUCAGUCGGCAAUUGAAUGCUUGGGUUGAUCUUACUGGUUAUUUUGGAUUGACUAAAGAAGAGAUUUACAAAAAGAAAAAAGUUUGAUGUUCAUUUCACUGACAGAGAUCGUAAUCAUAAUAACAUAUUAAAUGCUUUAGCCAUUCCAUCUCUUCAUUUGAAUGGCUUUCAUGGAAAACUUUCUUACCCUAGUGAAAUGGUCAGUCAGGAAAUGGAACUGAACACCCAAUUAGAUGCAGUUGCCUGUAGCUGAGUAUCUACUUCUGCAGUAACCACUCAACAGAAUGUUAAGCAAACCAAGAAAAGACCAUCAAAAAGGCAUUCAGAAUAUGCUGCUAUAAUGCUGGUUAUUGCAAGAAAAGAUCUUCAAAA